AGUGAACGCUGGCGGUAGGCCUAACACAUGCAAGUCGAACGGCAGCACAGUAAGAGCUUGCUCUUACGGGUGGCGAGUGGCGGACGGGUGAGGAAUACAUCGGAAUCUACUUUUUCGUGGGGGAUAACGUAGGGAAACUUACGCUAAUACCGCAUACGACCUACGGGUGAAAGCAGGGGACCUUCGGACCUUGCGUGAUUGAAUGAGCCGAUGUCGGAUUAGCUAGUUGGCGGGGUAAAGGCCCACCAAGGCGACGAUCCGUAGCUGGUCUGAGAGGAUGAUCAGCCACACUGGAACUGAGACACGGUCCAGACUCCUACGGGAGGCAGCAGUGGGGAAUAUUGGACAAUGGGCGCAAGCCUGAUCCAGCCAUGCCGCGUGGGUGAAGAAGGCCUUCGGGUUGUAAAGCCCUUUUGUUGGGGAAGAAGAGCAGCAGGUUAAUACCCCGCUGUUCUGACGGUACCCAAAGAAUAAGCACCGGCUAACUUCGUG
rnacentral:rRNA from 1 species